GUAAACAGCCGCUGGCCGCCGGCCGGCCGCCCUGCAGGGCAGCCCGGGGACCUGCCCCCGGCGCCACGCCCGGCGCCCCGGGGAGGCCCAGCCCGCAGGCCCCGCCGACUGGGCGCCGCGCCCUGGGAACGUGCACCGGGGCAGGCAGCCCGGCCUCACCUGGCCCCAGCGCGGAGCCGGAUCACACCUGCCUGCUGGGUGAGCCGAGGGCAUUCGCGGAAGGGAAGAGACAAGACCUGGGAAGGGACGCCUGUGGCUUAGAAAGACCCUCAGGCAGGGCCGGGCGUGGGGCGCGCUGAUAAAAAUUCCUGGAGCUGUAUUAUUCACAUCGCAGAUUUGUCCCUUUGCCUCAAUCUAAAAGGAAUGGGAAAGAACAGCCGCUGGGCUCUCAUUUGCUUCCAGCUUACACAGAUUCAACUAUCAAUUAUCCCAGAGGAGAGGCGUGCAGUGCAGGGCGUUGGGCCACGAAACUGAAAGCUGCUGGCGAGGCGCGUGGGGGAGGUCGAUUUCUGCGUCCUGCUGCCUCCACGCACAGUGAGAACCCACCCCGCCACUGCGUUCCUGUCCUCACAGCACAGCAGGACGAAAAUGUCUUCUGUUGGGAUCCCAGAGAAGAUCCAGACGCUGACACCUGCCCCUACCUCUCUACUUCUCAUCAUACCGGUCACCUGGAAGAAGGGUCCAUUCAAAGCAAAGCCUGUAGCCAAUGAGUUGUUUCUGCCAUCAAACAGUCAAGCAUAUGAGGCCCAAUAGGCAGUCCUGUUUUUUUUGUGACAGAGUCUCACUCUGUCGCCAGGCUGGAGUACAGUGGCGUGAUCUCGGCUCACUGCAACCUCCACCUCCCGGGUUAAAGUGAUUCUCCUGCCUCAGCCUCCCGAGUAGCUGGGAUUACAGAUGCACGCCACCACGCCGGCUAAUUUUUGUAUUUUUAGUAGAGACGGGGUUUCACCAUGUUGGCCAGGAUGGUCUCGAUCCACUGACAUCGUGAUCCGCCCGCCUCGGCCUCCCAACGUGCUGGGAUUACAGAUGCGCCGGCCAGGCAGUCCUGUUAAGCCAUGCCACACAGCUUAAAAAAAGACACUGGCAAGCUCAAGUCCCGAAGUUACCAGCUGAAGGAAGAGACUUAAACCAAACCAAGGGCUUCCUAUGACAGUUCUGAAAUACCCUCUUCCCUCUUGAGUCCAUACAACUGAGAAAAUAGAACGGCCAGUCACCGUGGCUCGUGCCUGUAAUUCUGGCACUUUGGUAGGCAGAGGCAGGCAGAUCACCUGAGGUCAGGAGUUUGAGACCAGCCUGGCCAACAUGGUGAAAGCCCGUCUCUACAAAAAUACAAAAAUUAGCCGGGCAUGGUGGCGCAUGCCUGUAGUCCCAGCUACUCGGGAGGCUGAGGCAUGAGAAUUGCUUGACCCGGGAGGCGGAGGUUGCAGUGAGCUGAGAUCGUGCCACUGCACUCCAGCCUGGGUGACAGAGCGAGCCUCUGUCUCAAAAAGAAAAAACAACAACAAAAAGGGAAAACCAAAGGUAAAAUUUGAUCCACAGGACUGGCCACAUUUCUACACUGGUAAAAUCAUGGCCUUGCUGAAGCAUUGAUCAGGAAGGGAUAAGACCCAGAGAAUCCAAAUGGAGACAAAUGAGAGGAUUUGGAAAACCUGAAGUUCUCUGAAUCACCCAGUCCUCAAAGAGCCUCCUUCGUCAGCGGAAACCCUCUUCUCCAGUCUUCUGACACACUUCGUAACGACACUGCCAUUUCUUUGCAUCCUUUGCAGUCUCACUGCAAGAGCAAGCCAGUUCUCAUGCAUUACCCUCGACUGUCUCCAGAAUGGACAGUUAGAUCCCAGCACUUCAGAAAGAAGGACAAUGGCAAGCUCAAACCAGCGAGGAUCAAGAUUAGAAACCAACAUGAUUUUGGGAUUUUCCUAACUAAGGGUGCUUAAUAAAUGGGUGGAAAGGUAUCAUUUUACACUGGUCUGAUGUUGUUGAUAUACAUUGCAGAGAUUCUGGAUUGACUGUGCUAGCAGGAGAAGCUGGGAGUGACUUCUGAGCUGGACUGACCACUGGACGCCAAGUGAUUAUCCCUAAUGUAUUACAUGUCAUUUGCAACCCAAGCUGUCCGUCAUGUACUGGGCCAUCUGACACACUCAUAAAAUCCCAUUACCAACUGGAAAUGGUUUAUGUGGGACUAGCUCCUAACCAGGCACAUCAUUGCUUCAACUGAUUCAUGAGCAGAAGAGUCUUUGCUGGCAACACAUGAACUGUGAUGGAUUCAAUCACUUAGGCUUUCCAUUAUCAAUGCAGACCUGGCCCCUGGGUGCACAGGGUUAUCAGUGACCACCCCUGAAUGCCGCAACUGACCAGACUCCAGGGACACCAUGGACUACUUAGUUGCAGACUGAUGACUUUGGACCUCUUCCAUUAUGGAAAGGGCAGUGAUUUCUUUUCACUGAAACAGGCUCAUGUCUGACUUUGGAACUGACCUCUCUGCCUGUAGAUCAUCAUGGCAUGCUCUACAAAAUUGCUUCUGACAACGGAAUUCACUUUACAGUGAAAGAGGGAAAGCAGUGGGUGAUACCCUUGUCAAUGGAUCCUGUCACCCAGAAGCAGUCAUCUGUAUUCAGCUGUGACAUGAUUUAUUGAAGAUUUCAUUUCAGGACUGAGAGACGAUCAUACCUAAGGAGAUUGAAAUAUCGUCCUUUAAGAUGCUUGUUUGUUCUGAACUAGGGAACAUCACGUGGUGCCGUUUCUCCCACAGCCAGACUAAACAGGUCUGGAGGAAGGGGAAGUAGGCACGGUGCAACUUCCAUCUUACUUAAUGACUCUCACUCUCUUCAACUUUUUUUCCACCAAUUAGCGAUUUUAUUCCCAGGAAAGGAAGGUUGCACCAUUGAGGCAGCUGACCGUUGGGGUGGCUCCCUUUGGAAAGGGGAUAUAAAGUGUUUGUAUGAGUGAUGGUUCCAUUAAAGCAGACAUUUUUUAAAAAGGUGAAAUUUGGGGAAUUAGAGUGAAUAUAGAUGUUGAACAGAAAAAGAGUGAUAUAGCAAUAGUCUGGACAUGUGGGCUGGCCACCUGGAAUUUCACAUGCCAUUAGGUCAAAAAAGUGGGUUGACAAGGCUGGCUGCAGUGACUAGUCCUGGGAAAAUGCUGCUAUACCACGGGAGACAGGCCAGGGUGGAGGCUAUGAAUGAAACUCAAGUGGUUCUCUCAGGAGCCGCCUCCUCCUCCUCCUCCAGCGGUGGGAGUUAAGGGAAGACUGUUACCAUCAUGCAUAUGGGCAGGGCCUCCUUGGUCUCUGUGCCCUUAGGAAAGAGGAAUAGGGUCACGGCUAGUAGGUCACACCCCAGUCAUCUAAGGUACUGGCUGAAGACAGCAUGGACUUGGAAUGGAAACUGGAAGCGGGAAACCUAAACAUCAUCCAGGGUCUCUUCUCUAGGGCAGGAAAUGGGUGCUGUAGCUUCUACUUGUACUUCCUGUGUUGUGUGUAUCCUAUUUUAACUCAUUGCCUCUCUUUCCUCUCCCGUUAUUCGUUUUAUUGUAUAUGGGAUGAACGGUUAUGGUUAACUUUACACUUCAGCUCAAAGAUACAGAAUAAUGAGAUGGGCUUGUUAUCCCACGGAGGUGGGGUAUCCAUUACUCACAGACCUUGAGUACAGGAGUUGAAAGACAUUGGGGUAACCCCGUUGGAAAGGGAAUGAAAGAAGUUUUGAUUGUAUGAGGAAUAGCUACAUAUUUUAAGCAAGAGUUUUUUCUUUAAGUAAAACUAGAGGAAUUAGAGUAUAUGUUGAUAUUGAACAGCAAAAGAGUAAGGCUGUAAUGAACUUAAUAGACCCUUUUUUUUUUUUCUAUUUUGGCUCUGCACCAUAUGAACUCAUUCCCAAAUUUGGAAAAUCCACUAUUUUGCGAGUCUUGGGAAGGGGCAAGAUCAGCUAGUUCAUGGGCACAGGAUCUAAGCUCUGGCAGCUGGAUGUUCUGAUCUAGAACUUCGAAUGUGGAGCCAGG
rnacentral:lncRNA from 10 species